rnacentral:rRNA from 1 species
GCUCCAAUAGCGUAUAUUAAAAGUUGUUGCGGUUAAAAAAGCUCGUAGUUGGAUUUCUGUCGAGGACGGCCGGUCCGCACUAUGUGCGUGUAUCUGGUUUGGCCUUGGCAUCCUCUUGGGGAACGUCGCUGCGCUUGAUUGCGUGGCGCGGUGCUCAAGACUUUUUACUUUGAGGAAAUUAGAGUGUUCACGGCAGGCAA